CAUGGUGACAUGGAGAGUAGAGUUACCUCCAGGGAGGAAGGACUUCAUGUAAGGGGCACAAUGGCUUCUCAUUGGCUUUAUCACAGUACCAGAAUUUUUCCACAUCACAGAACAUAUGUCAGAAAAGUUCAUAACUGGGAGACCCAUUCAUCCCCAUCUUGAUCACUGCAAAGAUGACGGAACCCAAGAAAAAUCAGUCUUGUGUGUCACUCACGUGAAUCUUCAGGAGGUACACAGGGGACACUGCGUGGAGAUUUUCUGGAUGGAUUGGGAGGAAUUGGGUACCACGCAAGAAUACUGAGAAAGGACCAGAGGUUAUGUUUUACCACACACUACACUGGCACUGAAUUCUGGAUGAACAAGGUUUCCUGUGGGUUCAACAUCACUUUGGAAGUAGUAGUCAUGCCUUGUGAAUAGGACUUCAUUCUGAAGAGGUUUGGGACUCUUUAGAAGGUAAUGCCUUUGAAGGCUGAGCCAUGAGACAAGUUGAGUCUUGGGCAUGAAGACCCGUGGCUCCUGCCUAUCCAAGAGAAGAGUUGCUUGAGCCAGACGUGGGAAGCGGAGGAGUGGAGAGCAGGCCACUGCUGGUCAGAGCCAGUCCCAUCACCCAUGACUGCACACAGUUUAUCUCCUUCCCACUCCUGAGGGCAACGGUGUGCAGAAGCAGGUA